GUGAGGAAUAUUGGACAAUGGCCGAGAGGCUGAUCCAGCCAUGCCGCGUGCGGGAAGACGGCCCUAUGGGUUGUAAACCGCUUUUGUUGGAGAGCAAUAAGAGUCACGUGUGACUUGAUGAGAGUAUCCAGCGAAUAAGCAUCGGCUAACUCCGUGCCAGCAGCCGCGGUAAUACGGAGGAUGCAAGCGUUAUCCGGAUUUAUUGGGUUUAAAGGGUGCGUAGGCGGAUGAUUAAGCGUGAGGUGAAAUGCCACAGCUCAACUGUGGAACUGCCUCGCGAACUGGUUGUCUGGAAUGCCCCUGCCGUGGGAGGAAUGUGUGGUGUAGCGGUGAAAUGCAUAGAGAUCACACAGAACACCGAUUGCGAAGGCAUCUCACGAAGGGGUGAUUGACGCUGAGGCACGAAAGCGUGGGGAUCAAACAGG
rnacentral:rRNA from 1 species